GAUGAGGGAGACAUCGUCCACGAUCAGAGACAUUGUCCACGAUCGCAGAGACCUUGUCAAAGAUGAGAGAGACGUUGUCCAUGAUCAGAGACAUUGUCCCAUGCUUCGCAGAGCUCUGCGCAAGAAUCGGUAGAGACACUGUGGUUCCUCGAUUCGACGGCAUGACCGCGAUCAGGAGACAUUGUUAAUGAUCACAGAGACACCGUCUAUGAUCUCAGAGACAUCGUCCACGAUCACAAAGACAUUGCCCAUGGUUGUAGAGACUUUGUCCAUAAUCUCAGAGACAUUGUCCGCGAUCACAGAGACGUAGUCCGCAAUCCCAGAGAGUCUUCGUACAAUGAAGAAGUUCUUUGAGACCAGGACAGAGACCUCCAGAUUUCCUCCAGGUGUCACCAAUUCGUCCAUGACAUAGUCCACAAUCACAUAGACAUUGUCUACGAUUGCAAAGACAUGCCCCAUGAUCGGAGAGACAUUGUUGAGGAUGAGGGAGACAUCGUCCACGAUCAGAGACAUUGUCCACGAUCGCAGAGACCUUGUCAAAGAUGAGAGAGACGUUGUCCAUGAUCAGAGACAUUGUCCCAUGCUUCGCAGAGCUCUGCGCAAGAAUCGGUAGAGACACUGUGGUUCCUCGAUUCGACGGCAUGACCGCGAUCAGGAGACAUUGUUAAUGAUCACAGAGACACCGUCUAUGAUCUCAGAGACAUCGUCCACGAUCACAAAGACAUUGCCCAUGGUCGCAGAGACUUUGUCCAUAAUCUCAGAGACAUUGUCCGCGAUUACAGAGAGUCUUUGUACAGUGAAGAAGUUCUUGGAGACCAGGACAGAGGCCUCCAGAUUUCCUCCAGGUGUCACCACUUCAUCCAUGACAUCGUCCACGAUCACAGAGAUAUGGUCCAUGAUCGGAGAGACAUUGUUGAGGAUGAGGGAGACAUCGUCCACGAUCAGAGACAUUGUCCACGAUCGCAGAGACCUUGUCAAAGAUGAGAGAGACGUUGUCCAUGAUCAGAGACAUUGUCCCAUGCUUCGCAGAGCUCUGCGCAAGAAUCGGUAGAGACACUGUGGUUCCUCGAUUCGACGGCAUGACCGCGAUCAGGAGACAUUGUUAAUGAUCACAGAGACACCGUCGAUGAUCUCAGAGACAUCGUCCACGAUCACAAAGACAUUGCCCAUGGUCGUAGAGACUUUGUCCAUAAUCUCAGAGACAUUGUCCGCGAUCACAGAGACGUAGUCCGCAAUCCCAGAGAGUCUUCGUACAAUGAAGAAGUUCUUUGAGACCAGGACAGAGACCUCCAGAUUUCCUCCAGGUGUCACCAAUUCGUCCAUGACAUAGUCCACAAUCACAUAGACAUUGUCUACGAUUGCAAAGACAUGCCCCAUGAUCGGAGAGACAUUGUUGAGGAUGAGGGAGACAUCGUCCACGAUCAGAGACAUUGUCCACGAUCGCAGAGACCUUGUCAAAGAUGAGAGAGACGUUGUCCAUGAUCAGAGACAUUGUCCCAUGCUUCGCAGAGCUCUGCGCAAGAAUCGGUAGAGACACUGUGGUUCCUCGAUUCGACGGCAUGACCGCGAUCAGGAGACAUUGUUAAUGAUCACAGAGACACCGUCUAUGAUCUCAGAGACAUCGUCCACGAUCACAAAGACAUUGCCCAUGGUCGCAGAGACUUUGUCCAUAAUCUCAGAGACAUUGUCCGCGAUUACAGAGAGUCUUUGUACAGUGAAGAAGUUCUUGGAGACCAGGACAGAGGCCUCCAGAUUUCCUCCAGGUGUCACCACUUCAUCCAUGACAUCGUCCACGAUCACAGAGAUAUGGUCCAUGAUCGGAGAGACAUUGUUGAGGAUGAGGGAGACAUCGUCCACGAUCAGAGACAUUGUCCACGAUCGCAGAGACCUUGUCAAAGAUGAGAGAGACGUUGUCCAUGAUCAGAGACAUUGUCCCAUGCUUCGCAGAGCUCUGCGCAAGAAUCGGUAGAGACACUGUGGUUCCUCGAUUCGACGGCAUGACCGC